UAUCUCUGUAGAGUCUGCAUAUCAAUAAGCGGAGGAAAAGAAACUAACAAGGAUUCCCUUAGUAACGGCGAGUGAAGCGGGAAGAGCUCAAAUUUGAAAUCUUCAAGGUUUUACCUUGACGAAUUGUAGUUUAAAGAAGUGUUUUCUGUUGGUGUUUUGGUAAAAGUUCUUUGGAGUAGGGCAUCAUAGAGGGUGAGAAUCCCGUAUUUGACCAUUACUUCCAGCGUUGUGAUACACUUUCAAAGUGUCGGAUUGUUUGGGAAUGCAGUCCAAAAUGGGUGGUAAAUUUCAUCUAAAGCUAAAUAUUGGCGAGAGACCGAUAGCGAACAAGUACCGUGAGGGAAAGAUGAAAAGAACUUUGAAAAGAGAGUUAAACAGUACGUGAAAUUGUCAAAAGGGAAGCGUUUGACACCAGUGUUGUUUUCUCGAAAAUCAAUUAAAAAAAGUUGGAUUUUGUAUUGUUAAGACCUUAUCAGCUUACUGUACUCUUUUCUUGCUUUUUUUAAUGCACUUUUCGUUUAACAAGUCAACAUCAAUUUCUUUUGUUGUAAAAGAGUCAUUGGAAGGUGGCUUUCACUUCGGUGAAAGUGUUUAUAGCCUUUGGCUUCUGCAAUCGGAGAGAUUGAGGUCUGCAGCGUAGAUCCUUCGGGGCUAGAUACGUAGAUGCUAAGUUAUAGUUUUUUAUAGACAACUUGUUGACUAUAAUUAAUCAUGUAGCUUACUCGUUUGCGCUAUUUUACCUACGCUUAGGAUGUUGAUCUGUAGUGCGUGCGC
rnacentral:rRNA from 1 species